rnacentral:lncRNA from 1 species
ACUGGAUCUGCUAUCUGCUAGCUCUGCAUUCUUGAACAUGGCACCAGCUCUCUGGGCCACAAGUUUCGUUCGUUUGUAAAAGGAGCCUGUAAACAUUUUUUUUCCCUUUUGAAAUCCAAAAUUGUCGGUGAUCCACUCUACCUUCCUGAUUUUCCAGUUGAAGAAACUAAGAUGAAAAGCCUCCUGGUUUUGCCAUGUACUGCUCGGUUUUCUGAGAUGGUAAAAAAGGGGCUUGGGAGGUCUGAUGUUCUGGGGGGUUCUCUUCCUCUGUUAAUAUGGUGUUCGUUCUUUUUUUUUUUUUUGCUAAAAGCAAUAGCAUCCGUGAAUAACUUGACAGUCAAUCAAAGCCCUCCUAAGCUGUGUGGAGUGGAAGGAGGGUUUGUUGAAAUAACCUGUUCCUGGAUUGUGAGUCCUAAUGUGACACAGCUUCGAGUAGAAUGGAUAAAAGUCAAUGGUACCUAUCAGAUACCAACUGUCAUUAAUAGUACGGUAUAUAAAACGGAGACCAACCUCACCCCAGAAAUCAGGAAGGAAAAUCUGAAACUGGAAAAAUUGAAUACAAAUUAUUCUGGACAUUAUUUCUGUGAAAUAACCAUUGAAAAACCUACAUGGGUGCAAGGAAAAGGAAAUGGAACAUUUCUUACUGUGAAAGAUCCAGAAAGAACUGUUCAGGAAGAAGGAGAAGAGUCUGAGUAUAUAGAAAUGGAAAAAACACAUAAGGAAGAUGAAAGAGCACAAUCUGAUACAACAGAAUGGGUAGGUUGAAUCACUGCCAAUGUACUAGAUGUUCAGAAGGUACAUCGAUUCAUUACAGGUUUGCUUAAGAUUUCAGUUUUG